GUUAUCCUAUUCAUAUGUGUUGUAGUCUACUUAUGGCAUGUUUAUGUGAGUCAGUCUCAAGAAUGAAAUCUGUCGUUCUGCCCCUGAACAGGCAGUAAACCACUGUUCCUAGGCCGCAUUGAAAUAAGAAUUUGUUCUUAACUGACUUGCCUAGUUAAAUAAAGAAAAACGUUUUUUUUAAACUUACCCACAAUUCAGGAGUCCCAAAAAUGUUUUUAAACUCUGCCCCCGCCUCGAUUUGUGAGCGAGUCCGAAAUCGAUUAGUUUGAUCCUUGGAAAUGGCACGUUCUUGUCCAACAGCAUGAUGUUUUCAGGCUGAAAAACAGAAGAGAGUGAAGGGAUUUGCUGCAUUUCUGAUCAUUAGUGUGCUGAGUUUACUGGGUUUGUUCCAGUCCUGUUCCUGUCUCCUUGGGUUAAAAAAGAUCAGAAAAUAAACCCUGUCAAACAACGUCAGAUAAACCCUGUCAAACCCAACCAGAUAACCGUCAACCCAACUCAAAACCCUGUCAACCAACGUCAGAUAAACAACCCUGUCAAACCAACGUCAGAUAAACCCAACAUCAGAUAAACCCUGUCAAACCCAACGUCAGAUAAACCUGUCAAACCCAACGUCAGAUAAACCCUGUCAAACCCAAUGUCAGAUAAACCCAACGUCAGAUAAACCCUGUCAACCCAACGUCAGAUAAACCUGUCAAACCCAACGUCAGAUAAACCCUGUCAACCCAACGCCAGAUAAACCCUGUCAACCCAACGCCAGAUAAACCCGUCACCCCAACGUCAGAUAAACCCUGCAACCCCAACGUCAGAUAACCCUGUCAACCCCAACGUCAGAUAAACCCUGUCAAACCAACGUCAGAUAAACCCUGUCAACCAACGUCAGAUAAACCAACGUCAGAUAAACCGUCAACCCAACGCGAUAACCCUCAACCCAACGCAGUAAACCCUGUCAACCCACGUCAGAUAAACCCUGUCAACCCACCGUCAGAUAAACCCUGUCAACCCCAACGUCAGAUAAACCCUGUCACCCCAACGUCAGAUAAACCCUGUCCAACCCAACGUGGAUGUAAGAAGGCACUGUCAGAGGGCUUAAGCACGGUGUUGAAAGAGAGUCCAGC
rnacentral:lncRNA from 1 species